ensembl:snRNA U6 U6 spliceosomal RNA
GUGCUUGCUUUGGCAGCACAUAUGCUAAAAUUGGAAAGAUACAGAGAAGAUUAGCAUGGUCUUGUGCAAAGAUGACACACAAAUUUGUGAAGCGUUCCAUAGUUUU